UGUCUCGCUGUGAUGAUCCUAUCCCGAACCUGAAUUCCUUGCUGAAAAACUUAAUACGGAUCCGGAAUCUGAGAC
rfam:Balearica pavonina gibbericeps contig42030, whole genome shotgun sequence.